rnacentral:rRNA from 1 species
AUACGGAGGGUGCAAGCGUUAAUCGGAAUUACUGGGCGUAAAGCGCGCGUAGGCGGAUAUAUAAGUCUCAUGUGAAAGCCCUGGGCUCAACCUGGGAACUGCAUGGGAUACUGGGUAUCUAGAAUACAGUAGAGGGUAGUGGAAUUUCAGGUGUAGCGGUGAAAUGCGUAGAGAUCUGAAGGAACAUCAGUGGCGAAGGCGACUACCUGGACUGAUAUUGACGCUGAGGUGCGAAAGCGUGGGGAGCAAACGGGAUUAGAAACCCUAGUAGUCC